rnacentral:rRNA from 1 species
CACGUAGGGGGCGAGCGUUGUCCGGAUUUAUUGGGCGUAAAGAGCUCGUAGGCGGCUCGGUAAGUCGGGUGUGAAACCUCCAGGCUCAACCUGGAGACGCCACCCGAUACUGCCGUGGCUAGAGUCCGGUAGAGGAGCGUAGAAUUUCUGGUGUAGCGGUGAAAUGCGCAGAUAUCAGAAGGAAUACCAGCGGCGAAGGCGGCGCUCUGGGCCGGUACUGACGCUGAGGAGCGAAAGCGUGGGGAGCAAA